UAGGGAAUCUUCCGCAAUGGACGAAAGUCUGACGGAGCAACGCCGCGUGAGUGAAGAAGGAUUUCGGUUCGUAAAACUCUGUUGUUAGGGAAGAAAAAAUGUAUAGUAACUAUAUACAAAAGAGACGGUACCUAACCAGAAAACCACGGCUAACUACGUGCCAGCAGCCGCGGUAAUACGUAGGUGGCAAGCGUUGUCCGGAAUUAUUGGGCGUAAAGCGCGCGCAGGUGGUUUAGAAAGUCUGAUGUGAAAGCCCACGGCUCAACCGUGGAGGGUCAUUGGAAACUAAUAAACUUGAGUGCAGGAGAGAAAAGUGGAAUUCCUAGUGUAGCGGUGAAAUGCGUAGAGAUUAGGAGGAACACCGGUGGCGAAAGCGGCUUUUUGGCCUGCAACUGACACUGAGGCGCGAAAGCGUGGGGAGCAAACAGG
rnacentral:rRNA from 1 species